rnacentral:rRNA from 2 species
AGAGUUUGAUCCUGGCUCAGGAUGAACGCUAGCUACAGGCUUAACACAUGCAAGUCGAGGGGCAUCAGGAAGAAAGCUUGCUUUCUUUGCUGGCGACCGGCGCACGGGUGAGUAACACGUAUCCAACCUGCCCUUUACUCGGGGAUAGCCUUUCGAAAGAAAGAUUAAUACCCGAUAGCAUAAUGAUUCCGCAUGGUUUCAUUAUUAAAGGAUUCCGGUAAAGGAUGGGGAUGCGUUCCAUUAGGUUGUUGGUGAGGUAACGGCUCACCAAGCCUUCGAUGGAUAGGGGUUCUGAGAGGAAGGUCCCCCACAUUGGAACUGAGACACGGUCCAAACUCCUACGGGAGGCAGCAGUGAGGAAUAUUGGUCAAUGGGCGCUAGCCUGAACCAGCCAAGUAGCGUGAAGGAUGAAGGCUCUAUGGGUCGUAAACUUCUUUUAUAUAAGAAUAAAGUGCAGUAUGUAUACUGUUUUGUAUGUAUUAUAUGAAUAAGGAUCGGCUAACUCCGUGCCAGCAGCCGCGGUAAUACGGAGGAUCCGAGCGUUAUCCGGAUUUAUUGGGUUUAAAGGGAGCGUAGGUGGACUGGUAAGUCAGUUGUGAAAGUUUGCGGCUCAACCGUAAAAUUGCAGUUGAUACUGUCAGUCUUGAGUACAGUAGAGGUGGGCGGAAUUCGUGGUGUAGCGGUGAAAUGCUUAGAUAUCACGAAGAACUCCGAUUGCGAAGGCAGCUCACUGGACUGCAACUGACACUGAUGCUCGAAAGUGUGGGUAUCAAACAGGAUUAGAUACCCUGGUAGUCCACACAGUAAACGAUGAAUACUCGCUGUUUGCGAUAUACAGUAAGCGGCCAAGCGAAAGCAUUAAGUAUUCCACCUGGGGAGUACGCCGGCAACGGUGAAACUCAAAGGAAUUGACGGGGGCCCGCACAAGCGGAGGAACAUGUGGUUUAAUUCGAUGAUACGCGAGGAACCUUACCCGGGCUUAAAUUGCAGUGGAAUGAUGUGGAAACAUGUCAGUGAGCAAUCACCGCUGUGAAGGUGCUGCAUGGUUGUCGUCAGCUCGUGCCGUGAGGUGUCGGCUUAAGUGCCAUAACGAGCGCAACCCUUAUCUUCAGUUACUAACAGGUCAUGCUGAGGACUCUGGAGAGACUGCCGUCGUAAGAUGUGAGGAAGGUGGGGAUGACGUCAAAUCAGCACGGCCCUUACGUCCGGGGCUACACACGUGUUACAAUGGGGGGUACAGAAGGCAGCUAGCGGGUGACCGUAUGCUAAUCCCAAAAUCCUCUCUCAGUUCGGAUCGAAGUCUGCAACCCGACUUCGUGAAGCUGGAUUCGCUAGUAAUCGCGCAUCAGCCACGGCGCGGUGAAUACGUUCCCGGGCCUUGUACACACCGCCCGUCAAGCCAUGGGAGCCGGGGGUACCUGAAGUACGUAACCGCAAGGAUCGUCCUAGGGUAAAACUGGUGACUGGGGCUAAGUCGUAACAAGGUAGCCGUACCGGAAGGUGCGGCUG